UACACUCCUACGGGAGGCAGCAGUGGGGAAUUUUGGACAAUGGGCGAAAGCCUGAUCCAGCAAUGCCGCGUGUGUGAAGAAGGCCUUCGGGUUGUAAAGCACUUUUGUCCGGAAAGAAAUCCUUGGCUCUAAUACAGUCGGGGGAUGACGGUACCGGAAGAAUAAGCACCGGCUAACUACGUGCCAGCAGCCGCGGUAAUACGUAGGGUGCGAGCGUUAAUCGGAAUUACUGGGCGUAAAGCGUGCGCAGGCGGUUUGCUAAGACCGAUGUGAAAUCCCCGGGCUCAACCUGGGAACUGCAUUGGUGACUGGCAGGCUAGAGUAUGGCAGAGGGGGGUAGAAUUCCACGUGUAGCAGUGAAAUGCGUAGAGAUGUGGAGGAAUACCGAUGGCGAAGGCAGCCCCCUGGGCCAAUACUGACGCUCAUGCACGAAAGCGUGGGGAGCAAACAGGAUUAGAUACCCCGGUAGUCCCAU
rnacentral:rRNA from 1 species